rnacentral:rRNA from 1 species
CCAGACUCCUACGGGAGGCAGCAGUGGGGAAUAUUGCACAAUGGGGGAAACCCUGAUGCAGCCAUGCCGCGUGUGUGAAGAAGGCCUUCGGGUUGUAAAGCACUUUCAAUAGGGAGGAAAACUUGUAGGUUAAUACCCUGCAAGCCUGACGUUACCUAUAGAAGAAGCACCGGCUAACUCCGUGCCAGCAGCCGCGGUAAU